rnacentral:rRNA from 1 species
CAGUCGCCGCGGUAAUACGAAGGGGGCUAGCGUUGCUCGGAAUUACUGGGCGUAAAGGGAGCGUAGGCGGACAUUUAAGUCAGGGGUGAAAUCCCAGAGCUCAACUCUGGAACUGCCUUUGAUACUGGGUGUCUUGAGUGUGAUAGAGGUAUGUGGAACUCCGAGUGUAGAGGUGAAAUUCGUAGAUAUUCGGAAGAACACCAGUGGCGGAGGCGACAUACUGGAUCAUUACUGACGCUGAGGCUCGAAAGCGUGGGGAGCAAACAGGAUUAGAUACCCGAGUAGUCCCUGUCUCUUAUAC